rnacentral:rRNA from 1 species
ACGCUCGACACCUACGGGGGCAGCAGUUGGGAAUAUUGGACAAUGGAGGAAACUCUGAUCCAGUGACGCCGCGUGAAGGAAGAGGGUCUUCGGAUUGUAAACUUAUUUUGUCAGGGAAGAAAAAAUGACUGUACCUGAAGAAAAAGCACCGGCUAACUACGUGCCCGCAGCCGCGGUAAUCUGAGCGGGCUGGCAAGGC